CCAUUUUCAAACCGAAAGGGCGACCUAUAGGUGCUUCUCGGAACAGAUAUCUGGAUGAUGCUGAAUAUAAUGCUGCCCGAAGCUAUAUCCUUCUGAAUUGCACUGAAAUCGAACCUUUCAGAGAAGUUUUUGAAGGCGAGUUGUAUGAAAUCAACCCCGAAAUCACACAGACCGAAGUUGUAGUCAAGUUGGAGAGUGAAUUCGCCUUUUGGUUCGAGCAAUAUGUGAAAGACCAAACUGUCUGUACC